UCCAUCCCCCGUCACCCCCCGGUGUCCAGGUAUCCAUCACCCCCCGGUUCUCCCGUGGUUCCGGCUCCCCGCCCAACCGGACCCGCCGGGACAGCGGCUCGUCCUGCGUGUCCCCUCGGUCCGGCUCCCUGCUCUUACCGGGCGGCCCCGGUUCCGUUCGCCUGCUGCCCGCGCACCCUCCCCAUCCCCCCGGCUGGUACCCAGGGGUCGCGGGGGCCACCCCAGCAGCUGUCACCGAGCCGGACCGACAGCCAGCCAGGGACCCACGGCACGCCGAGCGCUUGGGGAAUUUCUCUUGUGUCUCCUGGCCCAGCUAUUUAUAGGAAUCUCCAAAUCCUUCCACUCCAGCUGCCCGUGGCCUGCACACUGACCCCUCCCGGGUCCUGCUCAGCAUCCCGGGAGCAGGACACGCAGCCGUCCCUGCCCUGUCCCCUCCCAGUGCUCAGCACACUGCUAAAGUCACCCUUCGCCCUCCGAACACACUGAGAGUGCCAUGUGAAUGCCACAGCUGAGCUCCCACCUCAGCCCAAACCUGGAGCUGCUCCCGGCAGAGGUGGCAGCUGUGGGUUUGGGUUUUGGACACCAGCAUGAGUUUGUUAUUUUCUUGAAGUCUAAGGUGCGACUCGGCCGAUUUAAUCCUGCUCCAGCCUCAGCGUGGGGCUGGGCACAGGAGGCAGUGAGGGCUCCCAGCCCAAGCUCAGGGAGCUGGGACCACAAGCCCGUGGAGAUGGCUCAGUGUCACCCUUCCUGAGGGUCCCCACACUCACUCCAGCCACCGGCAGCAGCCAGCGCUCCCCAGCUGAGGCUGAGAGGCUCCUUCAGGGGAGGGAACAGCUGCCUGAGGGCCCCACUGUCCCCUCUCUGCCUCCCACCCCAACCCUGGAGCCAGGGCAUGAAGAAAGGGCCAGUGCCUGGUGUUUCUGCCCCACACAACAGCAUCUGCUCAGGGCGCAGCAGAACAACCCCAGGAUCAGCUGCUGUCAGGCCAAACCCAGACCAGUCCCACCAGUUCCAUAACUUACAAGGAAACAGAUAAGCUACAGAGAGCUGCGAGUCCUGGAGUAUUUACACCGAGGAGGGCAGGAACAGGAGACUAAGCAACACAGGACGAGAGGUAUUUACAGCACGGACACACGGGCC